rnacentral:rRNA from 1 species
GAUGAACGCUGGCGGCGUGCUUAACACAUGCAAGUCGUACGGUAAGACCCUUUGGGGGGUCCACUAGUGGUGGAGGGGGGCGUAACACUUGCGUAACCUUCCCACACCUUUGGGAUAACGCUAGGAACCUGGUGCUAAUACUGGUAAUGGGCUCUUGCUGCAAGGUGGGGGUUCAAAAGCUCCGGAGGUUGUGGAUGUAUUGGCGGGCUAUCUGCUUGUUGGUUGGGUAGUGGCUUACCGAGGCGGCUACGGGAAGCCGGCCUGUGAGGGUGACCGGCGACAUAGGCUCUGACGUGAGGCCGAGGCUCCUACGGGUGGCAGAAGUGGGGAAUCUUGAACAAUCGGCGCCAGGCUGAUGCAGAAGCGCCGCGUGUGGUAUGACGGCCUUCGGGUUGUAGAACGCUUUCAGCAGGGACGAAGCUUUUUGUGACGGUACCUGCAGAAGAAGCACCGGCUAACUACGUG